CCUACGGGGAGCAGCAGUGAGGAAUAUUGGUCAAUGGACGAGAGUCUGAACCAGCCAAGUAGCGUGAAGGAUGACUGCCCUAUGGGUUGUAAACUUCUUUUAUAUGGGAAUAAAAUGUUCCACGUGUGGGAUUUUGUAUGUACCAUAUGAAUAAGGAUCGGCUAACUACGUGCCAGCAGCCGCGGUAAUACGGAGGAUCCGAGCGUUAUCCGGAUUUAUUGGGUUUAAAGGGAGCGUAGGUGGAUUGUUAAGUCAGUUGUGAAAGUUUGCGGCUCAACCGUAAAAUUGCAGUUGAAACUGGCAGUCUUGAGUUCAGUAGAGGUGGGCGGAAUUCGUGGUGUAGCGGUGAAAUGCUUAGAUAUCACGAAGAACUCCGAUUGCGAAGGCAGUUCACUGGACUGCAACUGACACUGAGGCUCGAAAGUGUGGGUAUCAAACAGGAUUAGAUACCCUUGUAGUC
rnacentral:rRNA from 1 species